rnacentral:rRNA from 1 species
UGAAAAAACCCAUUAAAGCACAAAAAAGCAGAGAACCCCCCUCGUACCUUUUGCAUCAUGAUUCAGCCAGUAAAAUAUAUGCAAAGAGACCUCUAGUUUAUAACCCCGAAACCCGACGAGCUACUCCGAGACAGCCUAUACAGGGCCAACCCGUCUCUGUAGCAAAAGAGUGGGAAGAUCUCCGAGUAGUAGCAAAAGACCUACCGAGCCGGGUUAUAGCUGGUUGCCCAAUAAAUGAAUAAAAGUUCAGCCCCGUUAAGCCCUACUCACAACAGUCAUACACCAAAAGACGAAGAGCUACUAGACGGGAGUUAAUCAGAGGAGGUACAGCUCCCCUGAUUAAGGAUACAACCUUAAAAGAAGAUUAAGGAAUAUAGUUAAAUAAGGCCACAGGUCUCAGUGGGCCUAAAAGCAGCCAUCUGAUUCGAAAGCGUUAAAGCUCAGACCUUUACUAAGCCUAUUAUCUUAUCAAACCACUCCAAAAUCCCUUUAUACACUGGGCCUCUCUAUGUACCCAUAGAAGAGAUUAUGCUGAAAUGAGUAACAAGAAGAAUGAACUUCUCCCAGCACAAGUGUAAAUCGAAUUGGACCCACCACCGACAAUUAACGAACCCAAUAAAAGAGGGCCAUACACCACCGCCACCAAAAACCAAGAAAACCAUGUUAACCAAAUCGUUACCCCCACACAGGAGUGCUCAACCAAGGAAAGACUAAAAGGAAGAAAAGGAACUCGGCAAACCCAAACCCCGCCUGUUUACCAAAAACAUCGCCUCUUGCCCAUACCAGUAUAAGAGGUCCCACCUGCCCUGUGACCAAAAGUUUAACGGCCGCGGUAUCCUAACCGUGCGAAGGUAGCGCAAUCAAUUGCCUUUUAAAUGAAGGCCUGUAUGAAUGGUAUUACGAGGGUUUAACUGUCUCUUUUCCCAAGUCAGUUAAAUUGAUCCGUCCGUGCAGAAGCGGACAUAAAAAUACAAGACGAGAAGACCCUAUGGAGCUUUAGACACUAACCAACUUAUGAAAAGCAACACGAACAUAAACGUGACACAAACACCCAUAAAACUGGUAUAACUGUCUUAGGUUGGGGCGACCACGGGAGAAAACAAAGCUCCCAAGCAGACCAGGGACACCCUGAAACCAAGAGUUACAACUCUAAGCCACAAAAACUUUGACUGUAAUGAUCCGGCCACAGCCGAUUAACGGACCAAGUUACCCUAGGGAUAACAGCGCAAUCCCCUCCCAGAGUCCAUAUCGACAAGGGGGUUUACGACCUCGAUGUUGGAUCAGGACAUCCUAAUGGUGCAGCCGCUAUUAA